rnacentral:lncRNA from 1 species
AGGAGAAUGGCCAGGCGAAUGAAUUUCCAGGUGAUAAGAUCAGAAAUAUGAUGUUCUAGCUCUGUUAGUUCAGUACGACUCAUGUGAUAUGCGGGCUUCGGGAUUGGCUGGGUUCCAGAUAAUAAUUGAAUCAAGAACUCUACCUCACGUGGGGGCGGUAGACCAGAAAGUUCAAUGGAAAAGACAUCAGAAAAAUUGCAAACAAUUGGUAUAGAAUACACGUCAGGAUCAACAUCCAUAUUCAAGUUUAUUCAAUUAUUAGAUAAAGGAUAACAAUGACUUUUAUUUCUUUUUUGGGGAUCGUAAAGUUACAAUUAUAUUUUCA